rnacentral:tRNA from 1 species
GGGCUCGUGGCUCAGCAUGGAUAGAGCGAUUGGUUGCGGACCAAUAGGUCAAGGGUUCGAAUCCCUUCGGGCCCG